GCCGGGCGCAGUGGCGCGUGCCUGUAGUCCCAGCUACUCGGGAGGCGGAGGCUGAAGGAUCGCUUGAGCCCAGGAGUUCUGGGCUGUAGCGCGUUAUGCCGAUCGGUGUCCGCACUAAGUUCAGCAUCAAUAAUGGUGACCUCCUGGGAGCGGGGGAUCACCAGGUUGCCUAAGGAGGAGUGAACCGGCCCAGGUCAGAAACAGAGCAGGUCAAAACUCCCGUGCUGAUCAGUAGUGGGAAGGUGCCUGUGAAUCCACUGCACUCCAGCCUGGGCAACAUAGGGAGACCUCGUCUCN
rnacentral:SRP_RNA from 1 species